rnacentral:rRNA from 1 species
GACGAACGCUGGCGGCGUGCCUAAUACAUGCAAGUCGAACGCUUCCUACCGGUGCUUGCACCGGGAAAGAAGAGUGGCGGACGGGUGAGUAACACGUGGGUAACCUACCUACAAGCGGGGGAUAACAUUCGGAAACGGAUGCUAAUACCGCAUAGAUCUUUUUGUCUCCUGGCAGAAAGAAGAAAGACGGUUUCGGCUGUCACUUGUAGAUGGACCCGCGGCGCAUUAGUUAGUUGGUGAGGUAAUGGCUCACCAAGACGAUGAUGCGUAGCCGACCGGAGAGGGUGAUCGGACACACUGGGACUGAGACACGGCCCAGACUCCUACGGGAGGCAGCAGUAGGGAAUCUUCCGCAAUGGACGAAAGUCUGACGGAGCAACGCCGCGUGAGUGAAGAAGGUUUUCGGAUCGUAAAACUCUGUUGUUAGAGAAGAACAAGGAUGAGAGUAACUGCUCGUCCCUUGACGGUAUCUAACCAGAAAGCCACGGCUAACUACGUGCCAGCCGCCGCCGUAA